UCAAGUGUGAGACGGUGACAGGGUCCCUGCAGACUGGCUUCAGCCAGAUUAUCUUUCUCACCCCUUUCCUGGAUUCGUUUUCCUCCAUCAAUUAACUACCCACCAAUGAAUUGUCCCCAAGACUCUUUUUCAACAAAGAGUCUCUGAUGUAUUACAGAUACCUUAGAUAUGUGCAAUCGCCUCUGUCUGGAAAGACAAGCAAAAACCCCUCGGAUCAAGCACGAAGAACUGCUGUGCACUGUGCCCUUCUGGCUGAGCCAGUGUAUGCUGCUUUGCACGGCUCUGGGCUCCUUCUCCCGAACGGUCUGAACACCUGGAAUCCCCGAUCCAACGGGGUACAGGAAGGAAGAUGAGAAGGAGAGAUGCUUAUAGGACCAGCCUGGACUUCCACCCCUCCUUGUCCAUGAUGAGCUGAAGAUAUGCAAUAGUCCUUGUCAGUGGAACUCAGUUUCUUCCCCACAUCAGGCAGUACAAGUAAAAGAGGUGCUGUCUGUAGACAUGAUUGUCUUCAUAAAGCCCGACCCCAGGACACGGUACAGAACCAGCAGAGUCACGGA